rnacentral:rRNA from 1 species
CAGCCGCCGCGGGAAUACGUAGGGUGCAAGCGUUAAUCGGAAUUACUGGGCGUAAAGCGUGCGUAGGCGGUUCGUUAAGUCUGUUGUGAAAGCCCCGGGCUCAACCUGGGAAUGGCAAUGGAUACUGGCGAGCUAGAGUGUGUCAGAGGAUGGUGGAAUUCCCGGUGUAGCGGUGAAAUGCGUAGAGAUCGGGAGGAACAUCAGUGGCGAAGGCGGCCAUCUGGGACAACACUGACGCUGAGGCACGAAAGCGUGGGGAGCAAACAGGAUUAGAUACCCCAGUAGUCCCUGUCUCUUAACA